CCGAAAGUUCACCGAUAUUGCUUCAAUAGAGGAAGCAAAAGUCGUACAAGGUAGCUGUAGGUGAACCUGCAGCUGGAUCAUUU
rnacentral:rRNA from 1 species